GGGGGUAUAGCUCAGCUGGGAGAGCAGCAGACUGAAGCACUCGAACUUGACCAUUCUGAAGGUCCCGCGUUCGAUCCGCGGUACCCCCA